UGCAGUCGGACGGCAGCACGGGAGCUUGCUCCUGGUGGCGAGUGGCGAACGGGUGAGUAAUACAUCGGAACGUACCCAGUUGUGGGGGAUAACACAUCGAAAGAUGUGCUAAUACCGCAUACGACCUGAGGGUGAAAGGGGGGGAUCGCAAGACCUCUCGCAGUUGGAGCGGCCGAUGGCGGAUUAGCUAGUUGGUGGGGUAAAGGCCUACCAAGGCGACGAUCCGUAGCUGGUCUGAGAGGAUGAUCAGCCACACUGGAACUGAGACACGGUCCAGACUCCUACGGGAGGCAGCAGUGGGGAAUUUUGGACAAUGGGGGCAACCCUGAUCCAGCCAUUCCGCGUGAGUGAAGAAGGCCUUCGGGUUGUAAAGCUCUUUCGGCAGGGACGAAACGGUGCGCUCUAACAUAGCGUGUCAAUGACGGUACCUGAAGAAGAAGCACCGGCUAACUACGUGCCAGCAGCCGCGGUAAUACGUAGGGUGCGAGCGUUAAUCGGAAUUACUGGGCGUAAAGCGUGCGCAGGCGGUUUUGUAAGACAGAUGUGAAAUCCCCGGGCUUAACCUGGGAACUGCGUUUGUGACUGCAAGACUAGAGUGUGGCAGAGGGGGGUGGAAUUCCACGUGUAGCAGUGAAAUGCGUAGAGAUGUGGAGGAACACCGAUGGCGAAGGCAGCCCCCUGGGUUGACACUGACGCUCAUGCACGAAAGCGUGGGUAGCAAACAGGAUUAGAUACCCUGGUAGUCCACGCCCUAAACGAUGCGAACUAGGUGUUGGGGAAGGAGACUUUCUUAGUACCGUAGCUAACGCGUGAAGUUCGCCGCCUGGGGAGUACGGUCGCAAGAUUAAAACUCAAAGGAAUUGACGGGGACCCGCACAAGCGGUGGAUGAUGUAGAUUAAUUCGAUGCAACGCGAAAAACCUUACCUACCCUUUGACAUGCCAGGAACCCUGCU
rnacentral:rRNA from 1 species